AGCGGGAAAAAGCUUCCCCUCCAGGGACUUU
rnacentral:tRNA from 1 species